GACGAACGCUGGCGGCGUGCCUAAUACAUGCAAGUUGAGCGCUGAAGGUUGGUACUUGUACCGACUGGCUGAGCAGCGAACGGGUGAGUAACGCGUGGGGAAUCUGCCUUUGAGCGGGGGACAACAUUUGGAAACGAAUGCUAAUACCGCAUAAAAACUUUAAACACAAGUUUUAAGUUUGAAAGAUGCAAUUGCAUCACUCAAAGAUGAUCCCGCGUUGUAUUAGCUAGUUGGUGAGGUAAAGGCUCACCAAGGCGAUGAUACAUAGCCGACCUGAGAGGGUGAUCGGCCACAUUGGGACUGAGACACGGCCCAAACUCCUACGGGAGGCAGCAGUAGGGAAUCUUCGGCAAUGGACGAAAGUCUGACCGAGCAACGCCGCGUGAGUGAAGAAGGUUGUCGGAUCGUAAAACUCUGUUGGUAGAGAAGAACGUUGGUGAGAGUGGAAAGCUCAUCAAGUGACGGUAACUACCCAGAAAGGGACGGCUAACUACGUG
rnacentral:rRNA from 1 species